ensembl:lincRNA
UCUUUACAGUGUCUUGUGAGAUGAGUGUGUUUAUUCCCAUUUUACAGAGAAUAUCCAUUUAUAUAAUGUCAUGAACAUAUAUCUGAUGACAUCAUUUGCCUGCAAACGUACCCAGUGAGUGGCAGAGUCAUCCUGAAGCCUGCUUUCCGGGCCCCGCCUAUAUUCUGGAAAGCUUCACAUGUGAGAUAAAUGCACUCAAAGAUUCCUCACAAGUAGCUCUUUGGAGCUUCGGAUGUGAAAUGGAUCAUUCCUCAAUCUGUAAUAGACCCUUCUGUGAAGCUCUUCAAUCAAACCAGAGAAUUCAAGGAGGGUAUACAGCAAAGCUGAGAGAAAGAGAGAAUGAGCAAGUGAUAUGUCAAAGAGCCAAAUAUGGUGAGUCAACAACCUUGAAGAGAAUGAUUCAGGUUUGGAACUCUA